GGUAAUUCCAGCUCCAAUAGCGUAUAUUAAAGUUGUUGUGGUUAAAAAGCUCGUAGUUGAACCUUGGGCCUGGCUGGCCGGUCCGCCUCACCGCGUGUACUGGUCCGGCCGGGCCUUUCCCUCUGUGGAACCCCAUGCCCUUCACUGGGCGUGGCGGGGAAACAGGACUUUUACUUUGAAAAAAUUAGAGUGCUCCAGGCAGGCCUAUGCUCGAAUACAUUAGCAUGGAAUAAUGAAAUAGGACGCGCGGUUCUAUUUUGUUGGUUUCUAGGACCGCCGUAAUGAUUAAUAGGGACAGUCGGGGGCAUCAGUAUUCAAUGGUCAGAGGUGAAAUUCUUGGAUCCAUUGAAGACUAACUACUGCGAAAGCAUUUGUCAAGGAUGUUUUCAUUAAUCAGGAACGAAAGUUAGGGGAUCGAAGACGAUCAGAUACCGUCGUAGUCUUAACCAUAAACUAUGCCGACUAGGGAUCGGACGAUGUUAUUUUUUGACUCGUUCGGCACCUUACGAGAAAUCAAAGUGCUUGGGCUCCAGGGGGAGUAUGGUCGCAGGGCUGAACUUAAAGGAA
rnacentral:rRNA from 1 species